rnacentral:misc_RNA from 1 species
UCAUUUGUACCCUCAAGCUUUGCUUGGUGUUGGGUGUUUGUCCUAUUCUUUGCAAUAGGACUCGCCUUAAAACAAUUGGCAGCCAGUGUUUUGGCAUUGAAGCGCAGCACAUUUUGCAAUUCAAGCCUAAUACUUGCGUCCAUAAAGCGUAUUUUACACUUUUUGACCUCGGAUCAGGUAGGGAUACCCGCUGAACUUAA